GGCGACAGAGCGGAAGAUAGGUAGAGUGAAUGGAAGAGAGAGAGACACCUUUCGUCUUAAAAUUUGGCAAACUCGCUCGCGUGAUUGACACCCUUCUAUUUCGCUUCCUUUCCUUUCCCCUCCUCUUAUUUUCCUUUUCUUCUCAGUUUCCACUGUUAUUCAUAAUAUUAUAAUAACAAUAAUCACUUUGGUUAAUACAAGCUCCAGAUUAGGGUUUCAGUUAUUCAUCCGCCUUCCUCUCCUAAAAAAAAAAUAAUAAAACUAAACCGCUUUCGUUUUCUUUCGAAUUAAUUAACAUCAUUCUUUAUGUCUAAAAGGUUACUAUGCAAGUUCUUUGCUCAUGGGGCGUGUUUGAAAGGGGAACAUUGUGAAUUUUCACAUGACUGGAAAGAUCCUCCAAAUAAUAUUUGUACAUUUUAUCAAAAAGGUAUCUGUGUGUAUGGCAGUCGAUGCCGAUAUGAUCAUGUUAAACCUUCUAGGCCUGAAUCUACUGCGUCGUCUUCUUUGACAGUUCUGGCCUCAACUUCUGUUUCCUUGGCCCUUCCUGCAAGAACUGUAUCAAGUGGGGUGAGGACAGUGCUGGCGGUUCCUCCAGAGCUUUCAGCUUCAAGUAGACCCUUUAUUGCUCCCAGUACGCCAGCAUGGGAUUUGGCGUCUGUGCAACUUGACUUCUUAGAAGAUGGUGAUGGUGAGGUUAUACAGCCUAGGAAUGUUAAACCAGCUGAUCGAUCUCUUUGUUCAUUUGCUGCUGCUGGUAGCUGUCCUCGUGGAGAUAAAUGUCCUCAUAUUCAUGGUGACCUAUGUGCCUAUUGUGGAAAGCAUUGUUUGCAUCCUUUCAGACCUGAUGAAAGAAAUGAGCAUUUGAAAGCAUGUGAGAAGAAGCAAAAGAACCUUGACUUAUUAAAAUAUAGUCAAGAAAUAGAGUGCAGUGUAUGCUUGGAUCGUGUACUUUCAAAGCUCACAGCAGCUGAGCGGAAGUUUGGACUGCUAUCAGAAUGCAAUCAUCCAUUCUGCAUAUCAUGUAUCAGGAAUUGGCGUGGCAGUUCCCCAACCUCUGGAAUGGAUGUUAAUUCUUCAUUGAGGGCUUGCCCAAUAUGUCGCAAGCUUUCAUACUUUGUUAUCCCAAGUGUCAUUUGGUAUUCCACUAAAGAGGAAAAACAGGAAAUAGUGGAUACCUACAAGGAAAAACUCAGGUCGAUAGAUUGCAAACACUUUGACUUUGGGAAUGGGAACUGCCCAUUUGGAACCAGCUGCUUUUACAAGCAUGCGUAUCGAGAUGGCCGCUUGGAGGAAGUGGUUUUACGUCAUCUUGGAGCUGAAGAUGGACAGGGUGUGAUAGCUAAAAAUAUCAGGCUGUCUGAUUUCCUUGGUGGCUUGCAAAUAAGGUGAACUGGUGGUGUUCAAAUAUUUAAAUGAUAUCUAUCAAUGCGAAGAAAUUUAUUCAACUUUAUUGUGGAAGGUCUUCAAUCUUCGGUGCCAAACCCAGUUGUUUGCAAGGAUGGCUUUCUGGAGGAGAUUCGAUUUCGGGAAGCUGAAAGGUGUGCAGGUGUGUUAUAAUAAGCUGCCUCUUGAGUUAUUUUGAAAUAAUAUCAUGAAGAACAUGCCAAGGCGUGAAAAAAUAUACCAAGAGGUGAUAAAUUAUGUACUUGUCAAGGAAAAGGAUUUGAGUAAUGGAUGUUUGCGAUUAGAAUUUGCUUCCCUCACACCGCAAAGGACAGUGAAAACUACUGGGUUUUGCCCUAAUGGUUUGUAAUAAUUUGAAGUUUUGAUGGCAAUGUCAUGAUGCGGUGUUGCAUCAUGCUGGAGUGGCCUCUGUAUAAAAGUUUUGAACUUUUGAGGUAUACAUGAGAUUUAAUACAAUGUAGCUCAUUUGUAUCAA